rnacentral:rRNA from 1 species
CCUACGGGGGGCAGCAGUGGGGAAUAUUGGGCAAUGGAGGCAACUCUGACCCAGCAACGCCGCGUGAAUGAUGAAGGUCUUCGGAUUGUAAAGUUCUGUGAUGGGGGAUGAACACAAUGACGGUACCCCAAUAGCAAGCCACGGCUAACUACGUGCCAGCAGCCGCGGUAAUACGUAGGUGGCAAGCGUUAUCCGGAAUGACUGGGCGUAAAGGGUGCGUAGGUGGUUUAGUAAGUUGGCGGUGAAAUUCCGGGGCUCAACCUCGGCGCUACCGCCAAAACUGUUAGACCAGAGUGCGGGAGAGGUAAGUGGAAUGCCUGGUGUAGCGGUGAAAUGCGUAGAUAUUAGGAAGAACAUCGGGGGCGAAGGCGGCUUACUGGACUGUAACUGACGCUGAGGCACGAAAGCGUGGGGAGCGAACAGGAUUAGAUACCCUGGUAGUC